rnacentral:lncRNA from 1 species
CAGUUUAUAUAUUCUAGGCAGCAGGGAGGAGACUACCAGUCUAUUACUAAGGACUCCAAGCAUGUGUUCUUCUCUAAUAGGCAUCUCUUGGCUCUUUCUGUCCUGUGUGUCAGCUUCUUCCUCUGUGUGGUCUAACACUAUUCCUGGGAAGAUGUGAAUAGGCCUCUAUCCAUCCCAAAUAGGGAAUCAAUGACAGACCAAAGUAAGGUAACCACCGAAGUCCAACUUGGUGAACUAUGUGUUUUACUGUGGUUACUAAUAGGAGCAGAAAUGAUUGGAAGACAGCUGCACCACAAAAGCCCACCCCAACAUAGGUGACAGCUCACAGAUGCUGGAAACCUGGAGCUCACUGCACAAUUUGUAGACAGCUCAUAUGGUUGGGGCACUUUUCCCCAAGACAGUUCAGUUGGUCUGAGCCUCUCCAGGCAGCUUCCCUGGUCUCUGCUUUUUCCAGACAGCUUGGCUGAUUUAUCUCCUCCAGGCAGUGUGGGUGGUCCGAGCCUCUUCCUGCUGAUCUGCCUAGAAAGAACAUUCUGCAGACUGUCAAGUUGUGCAGUGAGGUACAGAGAGAUAGGCCAGCUGAUGGCCCCACCCCAUUUCCUCCAAGAAGACUGGCGGGCACUGAAGAAAUUUCAUCUCAAGUCAAUGGCAAUGGUAGCCACUGAGCAACCCUGCUCUUCACCUCAACUGCUACAAAGUGCUCCAGACUAUGGACAAGAGGACAGUAGAAUCGAUUUUCCCUGCAUUGCUUGGGUCAAUGGUAGGCGAGUCUUCCUAUAGUCCCUAAUCCACAGGUCACAUGUUGUCAGCAAGAAGGCAGGUGUCCUGCAGCCCGAAAACAUGGAUGGAGGACCUUGGGGGUGAGUGUCCAUGCAGCCUGCUGGCAGCUCUCUGUUAUCCUUUAAUCAUUAAUUCAGGUAAAAUCUUAUCCUUCUCAAGAACUCCGAUGCUUUUGACAACUGGUAGUCUUGCCAGCUUAAAGCAAAACAGAUUUCAGGAACAGGUAUUUUAGGGUUUAUCUAUGUGAAGAUAGUAAAGCGUAAGGUGUAUGAAGGUCUGGGAAUAUAAGGUAUAAAGGUCUGAGGAUGGAAGGUCUAGGACAAAGGUCUGAGGAUGGAAAGGUCUAACAAGGUGGAUAAAUGCAAGUUAUGAAGGGCUGAGAAUGGAAAGUCUAAGAUGGUAAUAUAAGUUGUAUGGAUUAAAGUUAUGAAGGUCUGAGGAUUUAAAAAGACUUAAGUAAUGAUAAAGUGAGUUGAGACAUUAAAAAGAAUGAAAUAUGUUCUGGAUUUGUCUAUUUCUCAUGCUACUGUUCAGUCAGUAAAGUUCUACAAUACCACUAUACAAUCAUAACUACAAGGUUAAGAUUAAGGUGCUUUUCAUUGUCCUAAAAAAUAUCUGUCCUUUCAGCCAAAUUGCUUCUAACAUGAAUAUGCUGCUAAUGUGCCUAAUACUUAUGUUUUCACAAACUCUAAGGAUUCUUGUGAGUUCCAGGGAACUGAAUUGGAUCCAAAAAAACAGGUCAGAUUCACUCCAAAUAAAUAUUAUUCAGUCUUUCCCUG